rfam:Xenopus laevis strain J chromosome 1S, whole genome shotgun sequence.
CUGCGCUGAUGACUCUCUUAGGACACCUUUGGAAAUAAACCAUGAAAAUAACACUUGUAAUAACUGAGCAGU